rnacentral:rRNA from 1 species
CAUGCUCAGAGCGAACGCUGGCGGCAGGCCUAACACAUGCAAGUCGAGCGCCCAGCAAUGGGAGCGGCAGACGGGUGAGUAACACGUGGGGAUCUACCCAAUGGUACGGAAUAACCCAGGGAAACUUGGAUUAAUACCGUAUGUGCCCUUCGGGGGAAAGAUUUAUCGCCAUUGGAUGAACCCGCGUCGGAUUAGCUAGUUGGUGAGGUAAAGGCUCACCAAGGCGACGAUCCGUAGCUGGUCUGAGAGGAUGAUCAGCCACACUGGGACUGAGACACGGCCCAGACUCCUACGGGAGGCAGCAGUGGGGAAUAUUGGACAAUGGGCGCAAGCCUGAUCCAGCCAUGCCGCGUGAGUGAUGAAGGCCUUAGGGUUGUAAAGCUCUUUCGCCGG